rnacentral:rRNA from 1 species
GACGAACGCUGGCGGCGUGCUUAACACAUGCAAGUCGAACGAAAAGGCCCUGCUUUUGUGGGGUGCUCGAGUGGCGAACGGGUGAGUAACACGUGAGUAACCUGCCCUUGACUUUGGGAUAACUUCAGGAAACUGGGGCUAAUACCGGAUAGGAGCUCCUGCUGCAGGGUGGGGGUUGGAAAGUUUCGGCGGUUGGGGAUGGACUCGCGGCUUAUCAGCUUGUUGGUGGGGUAGUGGCUUACCAAGGCUUUGACGGGUAGCCGGCCUGAGAGGGUGACCGGCCACAUUGGGACUGAGAUACGGCCCAGACUCCUACGGGAGGCAGCAGUGGGGAAUAUUGCACAAUGGGCGGAAGCCGGAUGCAGCAACGCCGCGUGCGGGAUGACGUCCUUCGGGUUGUAAACCGCUUUCGCCUGUGACGAAGCGUGAGUGACGGUAAUGGGUAAAGAAGCACCGGCUAACUACGUG